rnacentral:lncRNA from 1 species
AUUCUGGCAGAGGCCAAGGACAGGCGUGUGUGGCAUGUCAUGGAUUGAUGAUGUCUGGGGCCUGCAAGGGAAGAGCUGGCCUCAGGAAACUGCUGUCUGUGUAGCCUGUCUGCCAUUGUCUUCACACCGUGGAACUGGCCCAGCCCAGGAUGCUUGGGUCAUUGCCCACAGGCAGAAGUGACAGUUGAAAACUGGCACUCCUGUGCUGGGACAUGCCAUGCCGUCCUGGGGUGGGGUGGAGGGGCAGGGAAGAUGGUGCCACCAGAGGUUUGCCUGCCUUUCUCUAAAAGAGAUUUUUUUUUUUUUUCAUAUUCUGGUAGAUUCUUAGGAAGUUGCAAAACUACACAGAAGGUGGCCCCACGUACCCUUUACCCAGUUUCCUGCAGUGACAGAUGGUGCCCUGUGUUGGGGACCACAGUGUUGAAACCUGAGGAUCUGAGCAGCCUGUAGAGCCUGCUCAGGCACAGGGGCACGUGUUGUGUCUGUGUGAGUGUGUUCCUGUGCAGUCUUAGCACACAUGCUGACCCCCCAUAACCCCUAGGCAAGAUACAGCUGAGCCCUCAGCCCUCACCCACAAACAGAGCCAAGGGCUUCUGUGAUCCUUGCUUUUGUGACUAAAACUGACAUAAGUGUUUGUGAUUGUGGGUUUUUGUUUCUGUGGGUUAGUGCCAGGGUGUAUUUGCUGGGUGGCACAGGUCUUAAGAGAACUGUGUGAUUUCCCCCUGACCCAUGAACAAAUCAGAUAUAUUUGUGCCUGCAACAUCGCCCUUUUCUAUUUCUUUUUUUUUUUAAGACUUAUUUUUUUUAUGUAUAUGGAUACAUUGUAGCUCAACAGAUAGUUGUGAGCCUUCAUGUGGUUGUUGGGAAUUGAAUUUUUAGGACCUCUGCUUGCUCCAGUUGGCCCCGCUCACUCCAGAUGCACCAGAAGAGGACAUCCGAUCUCCUUACAGAUAGUUGUGAGCCACCAUGUGGUUGCUGGGAUUUGAACUCAGGACCUUCAGGAGAGCAGUCAGUGCUCUUACCCACUGAGCCAUCUUGCCAGCCUCUCCCUUUUCUAUUUCUGCUAUUUGAAUCAUGGAGGUUUUGUUUGUUUUUUGUUGUUUUUUUUUUUUGUUUUUUGAAGAUGGGGAUUUGCUGGCCUAAAAUUCAGAAUUCUUCCUACCCUGUGUUCUGAGUGUUGGGAUCAAAGGCACACACCUCCAAACCAGGUUUAUAUAGUGUUGGCAACGAAAUCCAGGACCUCGAGUGUGCUAGGCAGCCGUUUUACCAACCAGGCUACAUCCCCAUCCCUGUGUUAGUGUUUGAUGUGCCUUGUCUCAUAAGCCUGUGUAUCAUCUUUAUCUCUCUCUCCUGGAGCUUUCCCGGGUGGCCACCCCCCUACCCCACUGUCCCAUGCAGAGCAAGCAGGCAGGCACUUCACCAGCCUCCACCCAAGCUCAGGCACCAGCCUGGGGACAGGUCUGUGGGAGUAACUGGUGGCCGGCCAGCCGGCUGUCCUCACUGCCAUGGAAACCUGACAGUUCUCCACUCCAAAGAAAACAGGGCCAACUCCCCAUCCCCGAGUCUUGCUCAUCUAGGGGAUGUUUCUGUGCCGGGCUUCCUCAUGCCUGAUAGAGAACAACUCAGCCACUGUAAUUGGAGAAUGGUGGUUGUUUUUCCUGAGUUGCAUACGAUUGAUG